CUCAUUGCUGUAUCCAAGAGCAGCUUCCUGUUGCUUUAUCUGAUGAAGACAUUUCUCAUCUCAGAAGCAGACACCGUCACACUACAGAUGGCAUCACAGUGAAACUGCCACGCGGGGACACAUGGCUGCGGAGGAUAACUGUAAUCCAAUACCACCUUCCUGGGCAAAACCAGCAGGUACACUCAGUAGCUGAGAGAAAACCUGGGAACCUUUCAGUCAUGCAUUCAGAAGGCUGGAAUUCUACCCACCAAGUCCUGAAGAACUAACAGAUGACAACCCAUCAGACUACAGAGACUUUUUUAUUGCAUCCAGGCCAGAACUGGCUCAAAGAUACUACCCGGGGUGGACAAUGAACACCACUGCCAAGUGCCAUGACGAUCACACCCUGGAUAAAUAUUUGUUUCCAUUUGUGUACAGCAUUGUGAUGAUGAUCAGUAUUCCCACCAACUGCAUAUCCCUCUAUGCAUCUUGCAUUCAGUACCUACAAGGAAGAUAUUGAGAAGAUGGACCCAAGCUCUUCACAAGAGUACAUAGUGGGAGGAGAAGAACUCAUGCACGUAACUUGAAGCAAGAAGAGUCAGAGCUGAUAUAAGGAAAACUUCUGAAUUAUGAAGACUGCAAAGUAGUGGAGCAGGUUGCAACAAGAGGUUCUGCAUGUUCUGUCCUGUCAGGACAGAACUGGACAAUCCCCAAGUAACCUGGUGUGGCCUCAUAGCCUUCCUUCCUACGAUCAGAAGGUUGGACUAGAGACUUCCUGAGGUCCAUUUCAACCAGAACUGUCCUGUGAUUAUAUGAACUCUUAUAAAUGUGUAUGUCACUAUUCUGGUUGUUGCCUUCCCCUCAAAAAAAGAAAAAAAAGACACAAAAACCAACAAAACAACGUAUUAUAUGUUCCCUUCCCCUCUUUCUUUCCAUCAAUCCACUUUCUGGAUUUUGGUUUGGUUUUUAGUUUUUGGGUUGUUUGUUUGUUUGUUUUUUGGGGGGGUGGUGGUUGUUUUUUUUUGGGGGGGGUGUUUUUUGUUUGUUUGUUUGUUUGUUUGUUUGUUGUAAUACCUUCUUAUAUAUUAUGAAGGAAAAAGUAUGCAACCAGCAGCAAUGCAAAUUACAUCACCAUAGAUUUGUUCCCAUACUGAUCUAUGUAUUUUGCAACAGAAUGUAAAAUUUCACUGUACCACUGGAAUAAAAGCAGAACCAAGCAAAACUGUAACUUCAUGGAAAAAAGAAUUCAGUGGUGUAUUUCUGGACCUUUCAUAUGCCAGGGAGAUUGGAAAGUUAAUUCUGUUUGUUUGGGGUUUUUUUUAAAUUUAUUUCAAAUAAAGAAUAAUGAAAAGUAAAACUAAGCAACAAAAGUGAGUCAAAUUUAACUUGUACGUCAGAGAGUGGUGAGAGGUUGCUGCUCUGCAAGGAACAGGGAGCCAGGAGCUAUGGGUGACAGGCACGCAGGCUGGGCAGCAUCCCCACCAAGAAGCCGUGUGGCCCCACAGCAGCCCAGCAAGGCACACAGCGCACGUCUGGAGAUGAUAACCAGUGUUGGCCAACAGCUCUGUGACCACCAGACAAAUCCAUAUUGGCAAAACGCUUCUGAGGUCAAGCCAGGAAGCCCAGUCAGCAAGGCAAGGUCAGGAUCAGUGCAGUACUGUGUCGGCACUGGCGUCUGCACAGGUGGCCAAAGCCCCAGGAGGCAGGAGAAGAGACCACAGACUCUGUUAGGAAACUCAGGGCCAUGACUGUGCAAAGAGCUUAAUUUCCACAAAAUUUCACCCUAAGAUUUUAUACUUUUUAUUUUUCCACCAUUGCUAAUGAAAGCCUGAACUUGGAUUGUUUUACAUUGGUAUGUGAGGAUGUUCUUUUGACAGCAUCAUUUCCUGUAGUACCUGCCUGCAUUCUGGGGUCCUGUCACUUUAUGAUACUAAAAUGUAAGUACCUAAUCCUUUAGACUGUUCUGAAAUGCUCAGUUUAUGUGUUGAAAUCACAGCCCUCUGCAGAAAUGAGGAAGCUUUUAGUUUUGAAGACUGCAAUGUCUUGUUAUUCAAUCAUUUGUAUAUUCACCUCAUUAUUCUUACACAGCUAAAAAUUUAGACUUUCUUUCAUUCUCUCUCCAAAGUUGUUUGUCCUAGCUGGACCAAAUUUACCAUAUGUAAGUGAACAUCUAUGUUAUUUUUAAAAUUACACAGUGUUACAGGGGACAUCCUUCUCCCUAAGCAGAAAUAACAUAGUGAAAAAUAAAUGUCUUCAUCCAGGCUCCAAUCCACACUGCAUUUUACUAUUGUUGAAUAUUCCACUUAGGAUUCCUGAUGGCUCUGCAGGCAAAAAACAAGUGCAAAUUCACAGGAACUCUUCCUAAAGAAAGGCCAUUCCUUAUAGAACAGAGUUUAUAAAAUCCAAUGGUCUGUUUAAUGGCAAGAAGAAAUGCAUGCAUUCAAAUUCCAGUUUUCCUCACAGACAAUGCUUAAAAGCAUUAAUGUAUGACCUAAGCAAGUCACUGUAGUUCCUGUCUUGCUUGCUAAUCUAUACUACAAGAAUAUGGAUAAUUAAAAGGGCUGUGGUAAUAGUUUAGUUAAUAUCCACAGAGUAUGAAAUGCUACUGCCAAAUUAUAUUGUUGUCAGCAUAAUAACAGCAGAGGUGAAUUUAUAUGUUAAUAAUUCACUUACAGCAGAAUCUAUCUUCUGAAAAUCCAGCAAAGAUACGGCUCAGCUUCCUAAGUUGGGAGCUUUUCAUUGAACUGUGGUGACCUAACUGGUGGAAUUUCAGACUUAAUUGAAUCUGUUUUUUUCUAGAAUCUCAGCCAUAAUCUGCAUCACUGUAUUCAUGAUGCGGAUUGUUAUUUUUUUCUAAUGUAACUACACAUCAGCUUUGCUUUCUUAGUGUGAGUGGGGUCGGUCCUGACUCACAUGGUCAUAAAGCUAACAGACUCUUGCCUAGACUUUUUUUUGAGUCUCUAACAUGUCUAACUUCAGAGCCAUUGAGAUUGCACAAGGGAAGUGUGAAUUUGAGUUAUAAGGUCAAUAUAUUCCACUUCCUGUUUCCAUUCAAGGAGAAUGACACUACUAAAAUAAUUCUGAUUAGUGACGGUCUUUAGCAAUGUCACUCCUAAUUGAAUGCCAGUAAAGAAGGGAGCAUUUGGGAUAGUUUAGCCAUGUGCCACUUUCUGUGUUACUCAACAGUUUCAUCAGUGUCAUCAUCUGUCUAGUUCUCUGUUUUCUAAGGUGGUAAAGGAACAAAUGUUUCAUUUGCUCCCUGCCUCCUCACAGCAUAGAGAGAGAACAUGGGUGGGAGUAUUAGGGCGCUUGGGACCAGCACGACCACAGCAGCAGAGCUGCUUGCACACAACAGGGCUGCAGGGAAGGAAAGCAAAGUGCGGCUCUGAGCUCAGCAGGGGUCAGGUCAGUGGUAGCUGCGGAGCUGCUGCUCCCACAGGCCAGGGCUGCCAGCUGCUGGGGUUUUCCUUCUUUAUGAGAUGGCAGCUCCUCGUGGUCCCACAGCCCUGCGAGGUGACAGCUUCUUGUGGUCACAGAGCCCUGUGUCAUGGCAGCAUGUCCCUGCGAAAGGCCACCUGCUCUGCCACACCUGUCCCCCGUGGCACUGAUCCAACGUAGCAUCUGAUAAGUGAUGCUCUGGCACUGAUAAAGGGAAAGAGACCAAAACACCUUGUGCAUAUCAUAAAAGGUUUUCUUUUAUUGCUGCACCACAAUGGCUGUGUUACUGAUAAAUCACUAGCCUAAGCCAACACAGAGAGGUUUUGGCUGCUCACCUAUGAAUUAAAAGUAACCAAGCAAUUUCACCUGAAUUUUCUAAUAUCCUAGAAAGACAUAAAGUCUGUUCUGGACUGAGGCUUUGGGAAAAAGAACAAAUACACCACCAACAAUAACAAAAAACAAACAGGAAACAGUAAAGAAACUGCUGUACCAAAUGACACGUAAAAAGCCUGAUACAGGUGAAUGACAAAGACACUGCCCAGGACACAGUCAGGUCCUCACCUGUGCCAACCCAGAGGCACUGCCAGCAGAGUGUGUCACCCACAGCCUCUAUCCAGCCUGUGUACAGCAGAGCUGGAACAUGUGUCCCAUAGCAUCUCUCACUGAACAUCAGAGUGCACACAUAUAUACUGGUCACACCACUAGUGUGGAGAGGGAAUGCCAAAG